rnacentral:misc_RNA from 1 species
GAAGCUUUGGCUAUCUCCUAUGGAUUACAUUUAUUUGUGGAGCUUGGUUUCAACAAAUUAUUGGUUGAGUCUGAUUGUUUGAAAAUCAUAGAGAUGUUGCACCAUCAAAAUUAUCCUUCGAAUGCUUUGGGCAAUAUUCUUCUAGGUGAUCUUGAUUUUUCUCAACAACUGGACAACUAUUUGUGGAUCUUAGUAAAUCGUUCUGCCAACUGUGUGGCUCAUGCUUUGGCCAAGAUUCAUGCUACUGCAGAGUGGAAACAAGUGUGGAUUGAAGAAGUGCCU